GGGGAAUAUUGCACAAUGGGCGAAAGCCUGAUGCAGCAACGCCGCGUGAGUGAUGAAGGUCUUCGGAUUGUAAAGCUCUGUCUUUUGGGACGAUAAUGACGGUACCAAAGGAGGAAGCCACGGCUAACUACGUGCCAGCAGCCGCGGUAAUACGUAGGUGGCGAGCGUUGUCCGGAUUUACUGGGCGUAAAGGGUGCGUAGGCGGAUGUUUAAGUGAGAUGUGAAAUACCCGGGCUUAACUUGGGUGCUGCAUUUCAAACUGGAUAUCUAGAGUGCAGGAGAGGAGAAUGGAAUUCCUAGUGUAGCGGUGAAAUGCGUAGAGAUUAGGAAGAACACCAGUGGCGAAGGCGAUUCUCUGGACUGUAACUGACGCUGAGGCACGAAAGCGUGGGUAGCAAACAGGAUUAGAUACCCUGGUAGUCCACGCCGUAAACGAUGAGUACUAGGUGUAGGAGGUAUCGACCCCUUCUGUGCCGCAGUAAACACAUUAAGUACUCCGCCUGGGAAGUACGAUCGCAAGAUUAAAACUCUAAGUGAAUUGACGGGGUC
rnacentral:rRNA from 1 species